rnacentral:lncRNA from 1 species
CCGCCUCCUCGCCGUGUCGGCCGCCGCCGCUCCCGCGCCCUCGGCCCCGUCAGCCCGCGUGGUCCGCGCGCCGCAGGACGGAAGCUUGAUCACAGCUAGAGCAAACUUUGUGCACGGGAGGAAGGCACCGGUUUCAAGCGUACUCCCCGAGCACUGAGAAAACCCCAGUCGUCGAGGACUUGCUUGGCCGAACAACAGGUUUGAAUCAUCCCUCCUCCUCCUCUUCCUUCCCCGAAGUGGAGGGGCCGGGCCGAGAAACUGCUUCACUGCAUCCAGAGGAUCCAAUAUUUGGGAGUAUGCUUGAGAAAACAGAGCUUCAGGAAAAGCUGAGAAUGACCUCUCUUUGGCUGACUCACUCUGACUUUAAAGUAAUAUGUCUUUACAGAACAUGGUGAAAGAAGAGAGUCAAGUUGGCAAUUAGGUGUUCUCUUAACUGCCUACUUUGAUUGAUUGUGAUGGGCCACCUGGAACAUGGUGUUAAGAAGCAUUUUCGGCCCAAUUCCAGGCUCAGUGGAAAAGAGGAAAAUCCUUACUUUUUGCUACAGGUAAAACAAUAGUGAGUAACAAUGUUUGCUGGGAGUAGGUUGGGGUCAGGAUUUGGCCCAAGCUUAUUACUGACAAAUUGAAACAUAUACAGGGGUUGGACCAUGUGGCAGGAUUAAUUGUAUGACUAUGGGGGAGGUGAUGAGGUAUGUUAGGUGGCAGAAGUGCACAGACAAGAUGGAAACGGGUGCUUAGGGUGUAUAUCCAAGAUCUAGGCCCAAAAUAAUCACAACAACCAGCUUGGGGAUGGAGAUGCUGUCAGAUUACACCAAAGGGAAUGAGCUAUCAAUGAAAGAUUUUUUUUUUUUAAUGCAGUGACUUGGGUCCUAUUGUUCCAGAUCCAGCAUUUUAAUCCUGGCACUUGAUGGCAAUGGAUACAAGAGUGACAAAAGAUGAGGGUGUCAUGGUCAGUACCUAAGGAGGCAGAGCAUGUGUCUUCUUUGGUUCAGGAUACUUUAAUUUUUCUUGAGAGUAAACAUUUUCAUAAUGUGAAUUUGCAGUAUUCAAUGAUAUUUAAUUCGUUAUAGAGAAUAAGAAAACAAAUGAGAUGGAUAAGACUCAAAGUGUGUCAAAUGGCUUACAAGAUAUAUAUAAAAUUAAUUAGAUGGGUUAAGUAUACAAAGUAAGUUACCUAAAAGACAUGUUAAAAAAUAGAAUAGUUGGGAUAUACAAUAAGAAGUAUAUAUAUACUUUUUUGGUUCUAUAUAUAUAUAUGUAUGCAUAUAUAUGAAAGGUAGAAGUACUAAAAGGCACAAAAUAUUCAUGACAUACUAAAUAAACUAAGGCACAUGAAGCA